rnacentral:rRNA from 1 species
AAUUUUGCACAAUGGCCGAAAGGCUGAUGCAGCAACGCCGCGUGAGCGAGGAAGGCCUUCGGGUUGUAAAGCUCUGUUGCCUGCGAAGAAGGGCCCUGUCAGGAAAUGGGCAGGGUUUGACGGUAGCAGGCGAGGAAGCCCCGGCUAACUACGUGCCAGCAGCCGCGGUAAUACGUAGGGGGCGAGCGUUGUCCGGAAUUACUGGGCGUAAAGGGCGUGUAGGCGGCCUGUUAAGUUAGGGGUGAAACUCCGGGGCUCAACCCCGGGCGUGCCUCUGAAACUGAUGGGCUUGAGUGCUCUAGAGGGCAGUGGAAUUCCCGGUGUAGCAGUGAAAUGCGUAGAGAUCGGGAGGAACACCAGUGGCGAAGGCGACUGCCUGGGGAGUAACUGACGCUGAGGCGCGAAAGCUAGGGGAGCAAAC